CUAUAAUCGGAAAUCCACGACGACCUUCAUCGAGGUUCAAUAAAAUAAACACUUUGAUAGGACACUUCAGGCGAACUAGCAGCUUAAUUUAACUGAACCUGACCAUCUCAUAUGUAGUACAUCCAAAAUAUUUCUCCCAUUACACUGGCCCAAAACAUUAAUGUUUUUCUUGUUCGCAUUUACUCGACUAUAUUCAUCUAUAAAUCAGCAUCAAGUCGUCGACAAAGUUUUGCAAAUUUUUGCUGACCUUAGUAAGGGGCGGACCAUUUGAUUUUUGAGUGGAGGGGGAGGUUGGAAUUAGAUUUCGAAAAAAAAUUUCCUGCAAUCCAAGGAGAAAGAAGAAAAAAAAUCAUGCAGCAUACAAUCGAGAAAAAAAAUAUCAUGCAAAAGAGAGCGCUCAAAAAAAAUUUCUACAUGUAAAUCUACCGACGUUCUUCACUUCAGUAUUGUGUCCACAGGCUUACAAGAUAUUGCAUUUCUGAGCAGGC